UACGUAGGGGGCGAGCGUUAUCCGGAAUUAUUGGGCGUAAAGAGUGCGUAGGUGGUUUCCUAAGCGCGGGGUGAAAGGCUAUGGCUUAACCAUAGUUAGCCUUGCGAACUGGGAGACUUGAGUGCAGGAGGGGAAAGCGGAAUUCCUAGUGUAGCGGUGAAAUGCGUAGAUAUUAGGAGGAACACCAGUGGCGAAGGCGGCUUUCUGGACUGUAACUGACACUGAGGCACGAAAGUGUGGGGAGCAAACA
rnacentral:rRNA from 1 species